rnacentral:rRNA from 1 species
CCUACGGGUGGCAGCAGUGGGGAAUAUUGGGCAAUGGAGGCAACUCUUACCCAGCAAUGCCGCGUGAAUGAAGAAGGUCUUCGGAUUGUAAAGUUCUUUAAUUGGGGACGAAAAAAAUGACGGUACCCAAGGAAUAAGCCACGGCUAACUACGUGCCAGCAGCCGCGGUAAGACGUAGGGGGCAAGCGUUGUGCGGAAUGACUGGGCGUAAAGGGUGUGUAGGCGGUGUAGCAAGGUAGAAGUGAAAUACCUCGAGCUUAACUCCGGUGCUGCUUCUCAAACUGCUAUACUUGAGUGCAGUAGCGGUAAGUGGAAUUCCUAGUGUAGCGGUGGAAUGCUUAGAUAUUA